rnacentral:misc_RNA from 1 species
AAAGUCGUAACAAGGUUUCCGUAAGUGAACCUGCGGAAGGAUCAUUAACACGUAUCCAAACGUUAAAAACCCUGUGAAUUUUCAGCACCCGGUCUUGCUGCCCGCGAAAGCGAGUGAUUAAUUUCUUGCGGAACCAAUGUUCUGUCAGCGUAUGUUGGUUGUCCAAAGGUGGCGCAGUAAACGAUCGCUGGAGGUCAACACGGCCGGCGACCGGGUCAGCGAGCUCUGCUCCCCUAAAACCACUUUAACAUGAUUACAGUUCCUCUUUAAUUUGAGUGAGCUCCAAAAACUAUACAACUGUUAACAAUGGAUAUCUUGGUUCUC